rnacentral:rRNA from 1 species
UACGUAGGAGACGAGCGUUGUCCGGAAUCACUGGGCGUAAAGCGCGUGUAGGCGGAUCGGCAAGUCUGCUGUGAAAGCUCCUGGCUUAACCGGGAGUGGUCGGUGGAAACUGCCAGUCUGGAGGACGGUAGAGGUAGGUAGAAUUCCCGGUGUAGUGGUGAAAUGCGUAGAGAUCGGGAGGAAUACCUGUGGCGAAGGCGGCCUACUGGGCCGGACCUGACGCUGAGACGCGAAGGCGUGGGGAGCAAACAGG